UUCAGUGUUCGCAAGGGAAUGCAGAGAUGAUUGAGAGAAAAAAACAAGAUUUGUAUCUGUGAGUGAAAUCUGCACACGAGUGCCCCCUGGAGUUUUCCUGGCUUUUCGCUUUGAUUUUGAAUGAUUUCCUUGAUGUUCUAUUGAAGUCAGUUGCUGAAUGUGAUCUGCUCUGCAUUCAAAUUAAUUGAAGUGUGAACUCUUUUCUGGAUUUGGAUUGUCUCAACUUCCAUCGGUGCGUGUCUAAUUGUGGAGUUGGACUGUCGAGCCUC